AACCCAUGGUGAGGGCACCUUAUCAAUAGAUCUUUGUAUCUCUCGCAUGCAUCAUAAAGUGUCUCUAAAUCCAUCUGCACAAAAGAAGAGAUAUCAUUUCUUAAUUU
rfam:Gossypium arboreum cultivar AKA8401 contig_2184_7, whole genome shotgun sequence.